CAAGGACAAGCUUUUUACUAAAGAUAUUGAGCCACGACCAAGUGCCACAUUCUACCCAAAUGAUGAGAGCAAGGACAGGUUUUUUACUAAAGAUAUUGAGCCACGACCAAGUCUCACAUUCUACCCAAAUGAUGAUACCAAGAACAAGCUUUUUACUAAAGAUAUUGAGCCACGACCAAGUGCCACAUUCUACCCAAAUGAUGAGAGCAAGGACAAGUUUUUUAUUAAAGAUAUUGAGCCACGACCAAGUGCCACAUUCUACCCAAAUGAUGGAAGCAAGGACAAGCUUUUUACUAAAGAUAUUGAGCCACGACCAAGUCUCACAUUCUACCCAAAUGAUGAUACCAAGAACAAGCUUUUUACUAAAGAUAUUGAGCCACGACCAAGUGCCACAUUCUACCCAAAUGAUGAGAGCAAGGACAGGUUUUUUACUAAAGAUAUUGAGCCACGACCAAGUCUCACAUUCUACCCAAAUGAUGAUACCAAGAACAAGCUUUUUACUAAAGAUAUUGAGCCACGACCAAGUGCCACAUUCUACCCAAAUGAUGAGAGCAAGGACAAGUUUUUUAUUAAAGAUAUUGAGCCACGACCAAGUGCCACAUUCUACCCAAAUGAUGAUACCAAGAACAAGCUUUUUACUAAAGAUAUUGAGCCACGACCAAGUGCCACAUUCUACCCAAAUGAUGAGAGCAAGGACAGGUUUUUUACUAAAGAUAUUGAGCCACGACCAAGUGCCACAUUCUAUCCAAAUGAUGAUACUAAGAACAAGCUUUUUACUAAAGAUAUUGAGCCACGACCAAGUGCCACAUUCUACCCAAAUGAUGAUGCAAACAAAAAGUUUUUUACUAAAGAUAUUGAGCCGCGACCAAGUGUCACAUUCUACCCAAAUAAUGAUAGCAAGAACAAGCUUUUCAUUAAAAAUAUUGAGUCACGACUAAGUACCACGGAAUGAUUACGCCAAGAACAACCUUUUCAGGAAAGAUAUGCAAUCCUUUGGUUACGUUAUAUGAUCAACUGUAUAUGUGUGGUUGGUAAUUUACAUUUCUGUUGAUUAUUGUGGCAUGUUAAGUAUGUGUGGUUGGUAAUUUACAUUUCUGUUGAAUAUUGUGGAAUGUUAAGUUGUAAAAUAAAUAAAUAAUUUGUGGAAAAUAAUGAUUAUGUGAGCAAAGCUUUCUCAUGGGAUGAUUGUUAGAUUUAUUUUUAAUAUAAUAUUAUUAUUAAUAUGAUAUAUAUGCAUUAUAUGAUAAUUUAUUUCUUUCGGGUCUAUUAUUUUGUAUUAAGUAAAUUAGGUAAAAAAAUAACGUCUUAACUAAACAAUCAUGAUUUGUGACAUCUGUAAAUAGAACCUUAGAGAUUGAUCAUCUCACUGCUUCAUUCAAGUAGUUUACUAUUUUCUAUCAAAAAAAUUUAAUUAAGUUAAGAGAGGUCAAGUGAGAUAAACACAAUCUAUUAAAGAACCAUUUAUGGAUGAAGGUAUGUGAUUCUGUUAGUGAGUUUGAUUUAUGAAAAUUUUCCAUUGACGUGUAAAAAUAUAAUUUUAUGUUUCUACUGAAAAAUAAUUUUGUUUCGACUUUUCUUUAAUAGAUGAAGAACUAUAUUGGAUAAGAAAAGAUUAACACAAUAAUAAUAUUAAAUAAAUGAAUGAAUGGAUAAACUAUGAUGAACACGUAAAUUAUGUAUCAGUCGUAUUUUGUGUUAUGGUUAUAUAAUGAUAAUGAUAUAAAGUAUGAUUUAGAGUAUUCACUUAUCCCAGUGAUUUUAAUUAUGUUGUUUAGAUGGAAUGAUAGUUUGAUAAAAUUAUUUGCAAUAUUAGUAUGUUUGCAAAUUUUGUGAUUAGAAUUACUUAAGAGUUAUGUUAUUUGAUAUCUAUAUGUUAGGAAUAAUUUGUUAGUCACCAAAUUGACCAAAUUAGUAAGUUAUAUAGAUAUGAAAUGAAACUUAAUUGAUGAAAAAUCUUUUAUCUUCUUAUUAUGAAAAAGAAAAAUAAAAAUAAAGAAGAGGAUAAAGAUCAUCAACAGAUAAUUACACUGUCAAGAUUAGAGUUUCCAAAAUUCAUAUAUUUUUUUUAUUAAAAUUAUCCGAGAUUAAUUACAUUUUUAAUUACUCCAUUAAUAAUGUUACUAUUUUUUCAUGAUUGAGUUGCUCAACUUUAAAAUAUAAUAAAUUAUACAUGUUUAAAUUCCAUAAAAUUUGGUAUAAUAAAUUAUGUUUUAUUGUCCUUUUCCGUUAUAUUUAAAUCACAAAUAGUUUAAAGCAUCUAUUUAUUUGUGAUUAUUUGAUAUCUAUAGUAUAAAUAAUUUGUUAAUCACCAAAAUGAUCAAAUUAUUACGUAAUUUAUAAAUAUCAAAUUAAAGUUAUGUUAGUUCAAUUAUCCAUGUUUGUGAUUGUUUUGUUACAAUAUAUCUAUGUUAUGAUCAAUUUGUUGGUCAUCAAAGUGGCAAAAUUAGUAAGUCUUAUAGAUAUAUUCCAUAUUGUUUUGAAAAUGAUGAAAAUUAAAUAAUUAUUUGUGAUUAUUUUAAUAUGAUAUCUAUAUUAUGAAUAAUUUGUUAGUCAUCAAAGUGGCCAAGUUAGUAAAUUUAAUAGAUAUCAAAUUGAAGUUGAUUCAACUACGCAUGUUCACUUGAUGCUAAUGAAUGAGAUGAUAUUAUGAAACAUUAAUGAUUGUCAUGAGUGUAUUGAUCUUCGUUAUUAUAAAACAUUUAAUUUGACCAAAGGUAAUUAGUAAUUUUAUAAUUUAGAAUCUUAUUAUGGUUAAUUGAGGUGUUUGGUUAGAUAUUAUUAGUAUAUCUAAAUAUAACUAAUGUAUCUAAUUUAAGCAUUUAAAUUACCAAUUAUAUGAAACUAAAUCUAGCAUUAGUUAAGUAUAAAUAUUAUACAUUGUUUGUGCCUUCCAAAGAAGAACUUCAAUGUAUAAGCUAAUGAUUAUUUAAUAUUAUUUGAAUAUGUGUUGUAUCUUUAUGUUUAUUUCUCAAAGCAAUAAUGUAUAAGCAUGUUUAUUUUGUAAUUAAUUGCAUCAUCUGCUCUUGUUUCUAUUUAUUUGCAUGCUACAUCUAUAAUUCAGUUAAUUAACUCUAUUUUUUUUUUAUUGGUGCAAACAAAUUCGACUCUAUCUUGGGGUUUUGGUUCUUGAUUUGACACUUCUUAAGUGAAAGAUUUGUUGCACUAAUUUUUGCUAGUAGUGAUGAUGAUAAAUCUUUCUAUAAAGUUUGGGAGAGAUCAAAUAGAUUGAGUCUAGUAAUGUUUAUGUGAAUGGUUGUAGCAAACAAUAUCAAGUCCACAAUUACAAUAUUGAAAAUGCUAAGAAUUUUAUAAAAUUUAUGGAAAAUAUGAUGAGAAGGCACAUUGUUUUGAUCCAUUUGCUAAAUUCCUAGAAAGUCAUGGUAUAUAUAUGUGCUCAAUACACAAUACCAGGAACGUCACAACAAAGUGGUAUUACACCGGUGUAAUUGUACAUUAAUGAAUAUGGUUAGAAGCAUGUUUAUCUUUACAUGUGUCCUUGUGGAUGUAUGCAUUAAAAACCUCUCAAUAUUUAUUAAACAAGGUUUCUAGUAAGUUAAUUCUAAAGAUAUCUUUUGAAUUGUGGAGAGUAAGAAAACCUAGUUUAAGACACCUAUAUAUUUGGGGUUGUCAAGACGAAGUAAGAAUUUAUAAUCCACACGAAAGAAAACUGAAUUAUAUUAAAAAAAAAAACAACCAAUGGUUUCUUCAUUGGUCAUCCAGAAAAAUCAAAAGGCUAUAGAUUUUAUUGUUUUAACAACAGUAUAGGAAUAGCUGAAACUGAAAAUGUAAGAUUGAUUCCUUAGAAUGACGUAAUUAGUGGAAGUUUGAAACCACCUAAAGUUGAAAUUCAAGAAGUUAGGGUGGAAAGUUUUUCAUCUAUAACUUCUUCACAAAUUGUUGUUCAUGUAGCUAUUGACUCUAUUAACAAUCCACAAGAAUAACAAAUUAAUGGUCAAUUAAUGGUCAAACACCACAUAAUGAUGUUAUAACAAAUGAACCUAUAACUAAUGGACUACAAGAAAUAGAGUUAAGAAUAUAUGUAAGACAAAGAAGAUCAGCUAUUUCGGAUGACUGUGUAAUUUAUUUGCAUGAGUUAGAAUUUGACUUAAGUAUUAAUAAUGAUCCAGUUUCAUUUUCACAAGCCAUUAAAGAAGAUAAUUCUGCCAAAUGGUUAGAUGCGAUGAAAGAAGAGUUGAAAUCUAUGAAUGAUAAUGAAGUUUGGACCUUAUAGAAUUGCCUAAAGGAAGUAAAAGAGUUGAGUGUAAAUGGGUCUUUAAGACCAAACAUGACUCAAAUGGCAAUAUCGAAUGACACAAGGCUAGACUUGUUGCCAAAGGUUAUACUCAGAAAGAUGAUAUUGACUACAAAGAGUCUUUUUCACCUGUCUCGAAAAAUAACUCAUUAAGAAUUUAGUAGCUCAUUAUGAUUUAGAGGUUCAUCAAAUGGAUGUGAAAAAUACCUUUCUAAAUGGGAAUUUAGAUGAACAAUUGUUCAUGGAUCAACCAGAAGGUUUUAUGGUUGAAGGAAAGGAACAUAUGAUGUGUAAAUUAAAGAGGUCAAUAUGCAGACUUAAACAAGCUUCUAAACAAUGGUACAUCUUAAGUGCAAUGAUACCAUCACAUCUUUUGGUUUUAAAGAAAACAUUGUUGAUCGAUGUAUAUACCUAAGGAUCAAUUGGAGUAAAUUUAACUAUAAUCCUUGUUUUAUAUGCCUACUUACAAGAGAUCUAAUCAUCUUGAGAUGAUUGAAUAUUUAGAUUCAGAUUUUGUCGGAUGUGUAGAUACAAGAAAAUUCACUUUUGGCUAUUUGUUUCUAUUAGCUGAAGGAGCAAUUUCAUGAAAAAAUGUGAAGCAAUGUAUUGUUGGUGCAUCCCCUAUGGAGGUUGAAUUUGUAGGAUGCUUUGAGGCUACAAUUCAUGUUUUAUGGCUGCAUAACUUUAUCUUAGGACUUGGAAUUAUCGACAAUAUUGCCAAGCCGCUGAGAAUUUAUUGUGAUAACUUUGCAAUAGUUUUCUUCUAAAAACGACAAGUAUUCUAAAAGUGCUAAAUAUAUGAAAUUAAAAUAUUUUGUUGUUAAAGAAGAAAUUUAAAAACAAAGAAUGUCAAUCAAACACAUUAGCACUAAACUUAUGAUUGCAGAUCUACUAACAACAGGGAAUGUCACCAAGGACAUUCAAUGAUCAUGUUCAACAUAUGGGCAUUAGUAGAUAUCAUUAUUGAAAUCAAGAUUAUGGUUCUGUUCAUAUGAUUAGUAUAUACAUAAAUGAAUUAUGUAAAUCAAAGAGGACAUUGUCUUUGAUAAAGACACUUAUUGUUGGACCGUUAUUGAUUAUCUUUAUUAUAGAUCAUGUUAAUAGAAGAACUAUUUUAGUGAUACAAGGAAGAGAGUAUGUUAAUGCAAUGAUGUAUGACCAUCAUGAUUCUUUAGUAGUUUCUUUGGACUUGACAUGAUAUAUUACGAAGUCUAAUUUUGAGCAUUAUGUCUUUGUUAAGUAAUGUCAAUGUGGGCCAAGUGGGAGAAUGUUAAAUUUAUUUUAAAUUAAUAUUAUUAUUAACGUGGCCCAUUUAUGCAUUAUGUGUUAUUUUAUCUCUUUCAGACCUAUUAUUUUUAUAAGUUCAUUAGGUAAAAAAAAUAAUGUCCUAAUUAAACACCAUGAUAUGUGGUAUCUAUAAGCAGAACCUUAGGGUUUAGUCCUCUCACUAUCUCAUUGAAGUAGUUUACUCUUCCCCAUUAAGAAACUUAAUUAAGUUAAGAGAGGUCAAGUGAGAGAAACACAAUCUUAUAGAAAACCAUUCAUGGAUCCAGGUAUGUGAUUUUCUGACUAAGUUUAAUUUGUGAAAAUCAUUUAGUUCAAAGAUCUUGACAAUUAUUUUUUUAUAAAAUGUUAUGGUUUUAUUGUACAAACAUGAAAAUAAAACUUACAAUGAUUUGCUUCAACUUACCAGUCAACUUUCCCUAUAUCAAGUCAAAUGCAGUGCAGUUGGAUUAUUAUUAGAGAAAAAAUAAUUUUUUUCUCUUUUAUAAUUUAUUAGAAAUAUUUUUAAAUAUGGUAAAAUGAACCACGAUAUUAAUAACAUUUUUAUCAUUUAUAAUAAUUUUUCUUUUAUAGUUUAAAUUGCUAUUAUAAUCAAAUUAGGAGUGAAGGACACAUAUGUAAUAGGGAAAUUGCAAUAGAUGACAAAUAAAAUUAUAAAAAAACAACUCAUAACUCCUCUUUUUUACAUAAUUGCAAAUUUAGCAAAUAUGACUAGUAAUUGACGAUAAUCGUCUGUUUUUAAAUUUGUCAUUUUUGCAAUUUAGAAAAUGAGAGUUUGCAAUAAUAGCAAAAACAUUUAUAAUAAUAGAGCUCAUGUAAUCUAUAUUUUCUAAAUUGCAAAAUCACAAAUUUAAAAGCAGAUUACAGUCUAAUUAUCAUAAAUUACUAGUCAUAUUUGUCAAAUUUGCAAUAUGCAAAAAACGUGUUUUGAACUGUUUUUUCUAAUUUAUUUUAUCAUUUAAUGCAAUUUCUAUUUAAAAAAUGUAACUUACAUGAGUUUUAUUAUCAUAAUUUUUUUUUCUUUUUUGCCAUUUUUACAAACUCUCUCUCCUAUAUAAUAUGAGUGGUUGGGUUCAAGAAUUAUUGAUAAAAAUGUUCAAGAAUAAAGUAUUAACACAAGAAUUAUUGUUGUUGUUAGAAACAUAGCUAAGAAUAAUUUAGCAUUUUGGGGAAGUAAUAAAAAAAAUUAUCAAGAAAAUAAUGGGAUUUUUUUUAGCUUCAUUGAAAUAAUUGAUCCAAUAAUGCAAGCACAUUUUCGUCGCUUACAAAAUAAUUUUAAAAAAAAGGUAAAAUAUAAAUGAUCGAUUGUUUUUUAUUAAAAACUUAAGAACUUUAUAUUUUCGUACCUAAUUGUAUCCAUAAAUUUUUUAAAAAAAUUAUAAGACCAAAAUUAUGAUUAUUAACCAUUAUUUUCUCUAUAAAUAGUAAGUUUUGAGCUCAUGUGCACAGAACGAAGGCAGGAUACUAAGAUAUGAAGAUCAAACCAACAUUUGGAAUUACUCUCUUUUUGCUUCUUUUGGUAUGAAUUUCCUUUUUCUCAAUCUCUUUUUUUUGAGUUUUUUUUCAAUACAGAUAAAUGUUGGUCUAUAGGUUUCAUGGACUUGGAUUUUUUUUGUUUGUUUUUUUGAAGUAAGUCUAUUUCUUUUUAUUUUCUUACCAUGAUUUGCAUCUUUUCUUGAGUACACGAGUCAAAUUCUUGGCUAGAUUUCAAAAACAAAAAUAAGUUUUGAAAACUAACUAGCUAGUUGUUUUUUAGUUUUCAAAAUUUGACAUGAUUUUUUAAAACAUUACUGGAAAGUAGAUCACAACAGGAGAAAUUUAGCGGGCGUUUGGGGUUAAGAGUGACUUCUAAUAGUACGAGGAUUAUAAUAGUCUGUGUAGGGGUGUAGACUACUAUUUCAGUUUUUGUCUUAUUGCUUCCUUAAUUUGUGGUGGAUACUCUUAAGAUUUCCACUUUAACUUGACCUUCUACUUUUACUUGAUAAAUAUUUGGAAAUUAGUGGGAGAGAGGGUGUGAGGAGGAGGAGAAAGAGGAAUGAAAACAAGUAUGAUCAUGAUACUAGGGUUACAAAAAUAUUAAUCCUAGUACUAUCGUAAUAGGGUUACGAAAAUCUUAAUCCUAGUACUAUCGUAAUAUAGAGUAGACUAACUCACUCUACUUCUCUCUAUCCCAUGGCCCAACAGCCCCAAAUAGUGUUGUAGAUAUAAUUUUCCCAAACUAAAAACUAAAACACCAAAGGAUUAUUAAUUAAUAGACUUUAAGAAACUUGUUUAUAAAUUUUACCAAAUAAAAUAUGUGUUGCAAGAAAUUAAACCCAUGAAAUUAAUUUAUGGUAAUCUCUCUUAUUUUUCUUUCUUUGUUGUCAUGGUGGGGCAUUAUUUAGUUUUUCAACGGCAUAGAGUCAAGGUAUGAACCCGGAGGACAAUGGAAAAAUGUGAUUGAAGAUGACUCAUUACCAGUUGUAUCACAAGAAAAAGAAGAUUGCUUUAAAUACAAAAGCCUUAAAAAUGAAAAUACUUUUUUCAACGAUACAAAACCACGACCAAGUAUCACAUUCUACCCAAAUGAUGGAAGCAAGGACAAGCUUUUUAUUAAAGAUAUUGAGCCACGACCAAGUGCCACAUUCUACCCAAAUGAUGAGAGCAAGGACAAACUUUUUACUAAAGAUAUUGAGCCACGACCAAGUCUCACAUUCUACCCAAAUGAUGAUACCAAGGACAAACUUUUUACUAAAGAUAUUGAGCCACGACCAAGUCUCACAUUCUACCCAAAUGAUGAUACCAAGAACAAGCUUUUUACUAAAGAUAUUGAGCCACGACCAAGUCUCACAUUCUACCCAAAUGAUGAUACCAAGAACAAGCUUUUUACUAAAGAUAUUGAGCCACGACCAAGUCUCACAUUCUACCCAAAUGAUGAUACCAAGAACAAGCUUUUUACUAAAGAUAUUGAACCACGACCAAGUACCACAUUCUACCCAAAUGAUGAGAGCAAGGACAAGGUUUUUAUUAAAGAUAUUGAGCCACGACCAAGUCU
rnacentral:lncRNA from 1 species